AUUGAACGCUGGCGGCAUGCCUUACACAUGCAAGUCGAACGGCAGCACGGGAGCAAUCCUGGUGGCGAGUGGCGAACGGGUGAGUAAUAUAUCGGAACGUGCCCGGUCGUGGGGGAUAACGUAGCGAAAGCUACGCUAAUACCGCAUACGAUCUACGGAUGAAAGCGGGGGAUCGCAAGACCUCGCGCGAUUGGAGCGGCCGAUAUCAGAUUAGGUAGUUGGUGAGGUAAAGGCUCACCAAACCGACGAUCUGUAGCUGGUCUGAGAGGACGACCAGCCACACUGGGACUGAGACACGGCCCAGACUCCUACGGGAGGCAGCAGUGGGGAAUUUUGGACAAUGGGCGCAAGCCUGAUCCAGCAAUGCCGCGUGCAGGAUGAAGGCCUCGGUUGGUAAC
rnacentral:rRNA from 1 species